rnacentral:tRNA from 1 species
GAGGGUGUAGCUCAGUGGUCGAGCACAUGCUUAGCAUACACAAGGUCCUGGGUUCCAUUACCAGCACCUCCA